UUGAACGCUGGCGGCAGGCCUAACACAUGCAAGUCGAACGGUAACAGGAAGCAGCUUGCUGCUUUGCUGACGAGUGGCGGACGGGUGAGUAAUGUCUGGGAAACUGCCUGAUGGAGGGGGAUAACUACUGGAAACGGUAGCUAAUACCGCAUAACGUCGCAAGACCAAAGAGGGGGACCUUCGGGCCUCUUGCCAUCGGAUGUGCCCAGAUGGGAUUAGCUAGUAGGUGGGGUAAAGGCUCACCUAGGCGACGAUCCCUAGCUGGUCUGAGAGGAUGACCAGCCACACUGGAACUGAGACACGGUCCAGACUCCUACGGGAGGCAGCAGUGGGGAAUAUUGCACAAUGGGCGCAAGCCUGAUGCAGCCAUGCCGCGUGUAUGAAGAAGGCCUUCGGGUUGUAAAGUACUUUCAGCGGGGAGGAAGGGAGUAAAGUUAAUACCUUUGCUCAUUGACGUUACCCGCAGAAGAAGCACCGGCUAACUCCGUGCCAGCAGCCGCGGUAAUACGGAGGGUGCAAGCAUUAAUCGGAAAUACUCGGCGUAAAGCGCACGCAGGUGGUUUGUAAAGUCAGGUUUGAAAUCCCCGGGCUCAACCUGGGAACUGCAUCUGAUACUGGCAAGCUUGAGUCUCGUAGAGGGGGGUAGAAUUCCAGGUGUAGCGGUGAAAUGCGUAGAGAUCUGGAGGAAUACCGGUGGCGAAGGCGGCCCCCUGGACGAAGACUGACGCUCAGGUGCGAAAGCGUGGGGAGCAAACAGGAUUAGAUACCCUGGUAGUCCACGCCGUAAACGAUGUCGACUUGGAGGUUGUGCCCUUGAGGCGUGGCUUCCGGAGCUAACGCGUUAAGUCGACCGCCUGGGGAGUACGGCCGCAAGGUUAAAACUCAAAUGAAUUGACGGGGGCCCGCACAAGCGGUGGAGCAUGUGGUUUAAUUCGAUGCAACGCGAAGAACCUUACCUGGUCUUGACAUCCACGGAAGUUUUCAGAGAUGAGAAUGUGCCUUCGGGAACCGUGAGACAGGUGCUGCAUGGCUGUCGUCAGCUCGUGUUGUGAAAUGUUGGGUUAAGUCCCGCAACGAGCGCAACCCUUAUCCUUUGUUGCCAGCGGUCCGGCCGGGAACUCAAAGGAGACUGCCAGUGAUAAACUGGAGGAAGGUGGGGAUGACGUCAAGUCAUCAUGGCCCUUACGACCAGGGCUACACACGUGCUACAAUGGCGCAUACAAAGAGAAGCGACCUCGCGAGAGCAAGCGGACCUCAUAAAGUGCGUCGUAGUCCGGAUUGGAGUCUGCAACUCGACUCCAUGAAGUCGGAAUCGCUAGUAAUCGUGGAUCAGAAUGCCACGGUGAAUACGUUCCCGGGCCUUGUACACACCGCCCGUCACACCAUGGGAGUGGGUUGCAAAAGAAGUAGGUAGCUUAACCUUCGGGAGGGCGCUUACCACUUUGUGAUUCAUGACUGGGGUG
rnacentral:rRNA from 1 species